rnacentral:rRNA from 1 species
UACGUAGGUGGCGAGCGUUGUCCGGAUUUACUGGGCGUAAAGGGAGCGUAGGCGGAUCUUUAAGUGAGAUGUGAAAUACUCGGGCUCAACUUGAGUGCUGCAUUUCAAACUGGAAGUCUAGAGUGCAGGAGAGGAGAAUGGAAUUCCUAGUGUAGCGGUGAAAUGCGUAGAGAUUAGGAAGAACACCAGUGGCGAAGGCGAUUCUCUGGACUGUAACUGACGCUGAGGCUCGAAAGCGUGGGGAGCAAACAGG